ACAUGUCUCGCACGCUGCUUUAAAGCUCACCGACACUUGUUUACUACGGCGCGGCAGCGAAACCGAACAACGUUUACGAAACAGGCAGCCUCUCCAGAUGCUGAAAUCAAGCAUCACUCAUUAAAUGCCAGAGGAGCGAUACGAAACAAAGCCGAAAGAAGCCAUGCAAGAAAGUCUGCAGCAUGUAGUGGGCCCAGCCAAGUCCUCAUUGUUCGGUCAGACAUCUUUCUUGGCACAGUUGAGUGACUUCUUAAAUGCUCCUGACAGAGCUACUAAGGAUCCAAGCCUCUCUAUGAACAGCCUAAACCUUACAUAUCCCACCAUCGGGAAGCCCCCGUCAGAAGUCUGCUUUGUGCUUUCCCGAGCCCAUUCUCACCAACCAGCCCGACUGGAGGUGAUGAGGUGGAUGAAGUUGUAGAAGUCAACGCAUGGCAGUCAUAUGUAACCGAGGCCGCUGUGUGAUGUGGGAAACAUUAGUGUACAGCCUCAGCAGAAGCAUGAAGGCACACGCGGGGUGUGCGGCUCGAACAAAUAAGGCUCUCUGUGUUUUGCAGUGAAUACCUCUGCAGCCUUAUUACUAGUUUGAAGUGUGGUCUGCUGGCGAUGACAUCAAUGACCAACAGAGUGCUCUGGUUUCCUCUUCAGGCUUGGAAACUGCUACUUUGAACUUCAACAACUUCUCCCUUCAUUCCUUAUAGCUAUAGACACUAUAUCUGUAUUCAUUUUCAUUGUCAAUACUGAUUAUUUGUAAUCAAGGAGACUGAUAAUCGAGAUUUGGAGCAGCAUAUACAUUUGGUG